rnacentral:lncRNA from 9 species
AUGAACUUGGCCACGGGAAUCAAGCCAGUGUGGAAAUCUGGCCUCACGAUCUGCCCCCUCUUCCUGGCACGGAGUGGAGAGGAGCUGCUGAAUGGGCAGAACCAGGAGAGUUUGGAAUGUCCUGGGACGCCGAGCUGGGAUCCCUGGGGAGACAUCGGUGCCAUCUCCUUGAUCUCAUCGCUGGACAGGUUUCUCCCUCAUUCCGGCUUGGGACUCGGCAGGCUCCCAGCCCCAGCUGCUGCCAGUCCCACUCUGUCUGUCUGUCCCAGAGCUGGCAGCCAGGAGCCAUGCAGCUGGGAGCCGGGGUCGGGGGGCCUUCCUGGAGAGGGGGGCAGUUCUCCCAGCCUGUCUGCUGUGGGCCCUGGGCAUGCCUCGAACCCGUUCUCUGCAAACCCUUUCCAGCUGCAUCUCUUCACAAACUCCUUUGCCCGUGACCCCCUGAUACUGGUGCCCGGAGGCCUGUUUGGAAUCAUGUUCUCAGGACCUAAGGGACUUGGGAGGGGGCAGAGCCAACCAUCUGAUUCGUGAUCCCCUUAGCAGGGACUCUGGCUGUGCACACAGUGAGUUCCUGCUAAGAGCGUGGGGGGCAUGGGUGUCAGGGAUGUGAAAAGAUAUAUGUGUGUGUGUAUUUGCACGUGCAUGGAGUCUUUUUGAGUUUCCAGUUUUAAGUAUCCCUGGAUUUGAUUUAUUGCAGGAAAAGUUUGGGGGAAGGACUCUAGGGAGGUCAGGGGUCUGGUUCAGGAAGGAGCCCAUCCUUACCUGGAUAGCUUGCACCUCUGUGUGGCUGGACAUUCUAUAACCCGCCUUGGUCUCACGUGCCCAGGUUGGGCCCACCUGACUGGCGAGAGGCCGAUCCCGCCGGUAGACACGUGCAAAUGUGUGUGUGCACGCGUGCACGUGUGAGUCAUUCCUGAGCCCCCGGGGUCAGGAAGGAGAUCCAUGCUUGUCUAGCCUGGGGACACGCUCUGUGUACUUAGCUCUCACCUGGCUGGGCGGUGGGGCAAGGGCUUCCUGGUGGUCCCAAGAGGCAUCCCCUCAGGGAAAAACGCGCCCUGCACCGACCCCUGCGGUCUCUCCUAGGCUUGGGCAAUCCCCGCCCGAUGUAGGUCAGCACCAGCCCCAGGCUUGGGUGAAGGCUCUUCUUUCCGCAUCAUUAAUAAGGAGACUAAAUAAGUCCGCCCCUCUGGCAGGCCCCCCAGCCCCCCGGGCAGCCUGGCUGGAGCUAUUAAUAUUCCCCGUGUUUAUGACCCCCCUGGCCCCGGCGACAGGCUCCCCUCGCUUAGCCGUUGGAAUUAAUUUUGUGAAUCGG